AGUGAAAUAGCUGGGUCAAAUGGUGGUUCCAUUCCAGUUUUUCUAAGGAAUCUCCAUAAUGCUUUCCAUAUUGGUUGCACCAAUUUGCAGUCCCACCAGCAAU
rnacentral:pre_miRNA from 1 species